CGUGUAGGCGGCUUCUUAAGUCUGAUGUGAAAGCCCGGGGCUUACCCCCGGAAGUGCAUUGGAGACUGGGAGGCUCGAGUACCGGAGAGGAGGGUGGAAUUCCUGGUGUAGCGGUGAAAUGCGUAGAUAUCAGGAGGAACACCGGUGGCGAAGGCGGCCCUCUGGACGGAUACUGACGCUGAGACGCGAAAGCGUGGGGAGCAAACAGGAUUAGAUACCCUGGUAGUCCACGCUGUAAACGAUGGGCACUAGGUGUUCGGGGUAUUGACCCCCUGAGUGCCGCAGCUAACGCAUUAAGUGCCCCGCCUGGGGACUACGGCCGCAAGGUUAA
rnacentral:rRNA from 1 species